CGGGUUGUAAAGCACUUUCAGUAGGGAGGAAGGUAGUGUAGUUAACACCUGCAUUAUUUGACGUUACCUACAGAAGAAGCACCGGCUAACUCCGUGCCAGCAGCCGCGGUAAUACGGAGGGUGCGAGCGUUAAUCGGAAUUACUGGGCGUAAAGCGCAUGCAGGCGGCCUGUUAAGUCAGAUGUGAAAGACCCGGGGCGUUAACCUCGGAAUUGCAUUUGUAAACUGGCAGGCUAGAGUCUUGUAGAGGGGGGUAGGAAGUUUCAGGUGUAGCGGUGAAAUAGCGUAGAGAUCUGAAGGAAUACCAGUGGCGAAGGCGGCCCCCUCGGACAAAGACUGACGCUCAGAUGCGAAAGCGUGGGGAGCAAACAGGAUUAGAUACCCUGGUAG
rnacentral:rRNA from 1 species